rnacentral:misc_RNA from 1 species
UUUUUGCUAUUUAUCUGUUAAGAAGUUUCCAGUGAUGCAUUUAAGGGACUCCAAUGUGCUUUGUUCCUCUAUGAAAAGCAGCUCACAUAAUUUUUUUCUUAAGAUGACUACAAACACAUUGGUUGGUAUGGAAUGCCGGCUACCCAAAGUCUUGGUCCCUUGUUAUGUACAUAGAUGUCAUAAUAACUCAUACAAAUACUGUAUUUAUGGUUCCAUGUAAUGUGAAGCUUUUGCC